AUCAUCGAGAACAAGGGGAGAGGAUGAACGAGACGCUGACUUCUCGUCUGACGAUCGUUAUAACGGUCGUCGAGGAAACGGGGAUGUUCUUAGGGGACAGCUCGGUGGUUUUUCAUUAACAGGUGAAUAUUCAAAAGGAAAGAGAUGAAGACGUGGACGAUCUCUUUCAGAGUAGUUGACCGCGGUCUUUCGUAACGUGGAACAAAAGGCUCGGUGAAGAGUUUGAUCGUCCCGGCAUGCGCGCGCCAUGGAUAAAAGAAAACGUGGAAAAAGAUCUGGCGAUG